GCAUUCCAACAGUUUGGCAAGUGAUGCGUUCACCUGAGAUUAAGUGAUUUUAGGCAGUCAGUAACAAAAUGCUGCUUUGCUGUAAUAGUAGAAAGGCAACAAAUUCUUAAAAGAAACCAAGAAGGGUAGGCUGCAAAACAUACAGCAAAAAGGAUUGGCUUGAAGGCAUUUGAUGUUUGUAAAUAAAUCCACAAUUGGAUCCAAGCUGAAGAGGU
rnacentral:lncRNA from 1 species